UUAGACAUCACUUCUCCAUCGAUCCCACCAUUUGGUGCGUGAGAAAAUGAUUCUAUUUCCCUGUCAUAACUGUGAAACUCAGCUAUAUAUGGACGCCUCUCAGUGGAACUAAUACUUGAGGCAGCAGCAACGUACACUUAACUCUUUGUGUGUGAAGAGUAUUCAUUAGAGAAAAAAGAAAAAUGGCAUCCAUCAAGACUGAGAAACCUGCUGUUGGCCCUGUCCCCACUCCUGGGGCCAAGAAAGAGCCUGCCAAGCCUAGCGGGACGACGCCUAAAGCUCCGGCGGCCUCCAAGCCAGCCCCUAAGAAGACUGAGCAGAAGCCUCGGGAGCCUAAGAAGAAGGUUGCAGGAACCAAGUAAGCAGGUGGAAUGAGGAUGACAAGGCAUGAAGGGUUCAUGAAGAAGAUGUCAAUUCAUGCCGGUCCUUAAAUGUUACAAUAUUACAUAAGUUAUAUACUUGUGAUUUGUAUCCUGCAUGUAUCCCUAUAUGUCUCUCUUUUUAGGCUUCGCGCGUAUUAAAUAAAAUUAUAUAUAUUUGAAUAAA